ACUCAAAGGAAUUGACGGGGGCCCGCACAAGCGGUGGAGCAUGUGGCUUAAUUCGAUGCUACGCGAAGAACCUUACCUAGGUUUGACAUGCACUGGACCGGAUAUGAAAGUAUCCUUCCUUUUUGGCCGGUGCACAGGUGCUGCAUGGCUGUCGUCAGCUCGUGUCGUGAGAUGUUCGGUUAAGUCCGGUAACGAGCGCAACCCCUGUCCUUAGUUGCUAACGAGUCAUGUCGAGAACUCUAAGGAGACAAACUCACUAUGUGAGUGGGAAGGUGGGGAUGAAGUCAAGUCAGUAUGGCCCUUACACCUAGGGCUGCACACGUGCUACAAUGCCUGGUACAAUGAGACGCAAUGCCGCGAGGUGGAGCAAAUCUAUAAAACCAGGCCCAGUUCAGAUUGGAGUCUGCAAUUCGACUCCAUGAAGCCGGAAUCGCUAGUAAUGGCGUAUCAGCUACGACGCCGUGAAUACGUUCUCGGGCCUUGUACACACCGCCCGU
rnacentral:rRNA from 1 species